rnacentral:rRNA from 1 species
UACGGAGGGUGCAAGCGUUAUCCGGAUUUACUGGGUUUAAAGGGUGCGUAGGUGGGUCUGUAAGUCAGUGGUGAAAUCUCCGAGCUUAACUCGGAAACUGCCCAUUGAUACUAUAGGUCUUGAAUUAUCUGGAGGUAAGCGGAAUAUGUCAUGUAGCGGUGAAAUGCUUAGAUAUGACAUAGAACACCAAUUGCGAAGGCAGCUUACUACGGAUUGAUUGACACUGAGGCACGAAAGCGUGGGGAUCAAACAGG